rnacentral:lncRNA from 1 species
CCGCCCUGCCCCGUGAACCCUCUCCGCUGCCGCCUCCCCUCGCCCACCUCGACGGCCAUGUUCGUGGGUGGGGAGAGGCCAGCCCGACCCUCGGACUGCGGGACUCGCGGGCUACUUUAGGGUUACCAACGAUCCUGAUCUGCCCAAGGCUGAGGAGUUUCCCAGGAUAUGGGACUUUGACUGCUAAAACCAGGAUAGUCCCAUGCAGAGCAGCAUGGCUGAUCACCCUACUUGCUGCCAUGAGACUACCACCAUCCUCGAGGAUGAUAGAUCCCAAGGAGAGAGUGACCCAGUCAACAUCCAGCCCCAUCAGCAUGUGACUUAUCCAGCCCCAAUCCAGUCACCAGAUAAUAGCAAAUGCAUGAAUUAAUUCAGGUGAGACCACCAGAAUGAUCUAGCUGAACUUAUCUCAAAUUGCUGUCCUCUGUUGGAGUUUUUCUGCACAUAAAAAAUAAAAUUGCUGUCCUACACAACUGUAAA